UGUGACACUCCUGCCCCAAUACAUGAUUUAAUUUGAGUAGAAUCAUUUGAUAAAGGACAGAACUACCAGCAAAGCUUCUUGAUAUAUAAAGAAAUGAUACUUCUUUAAGCAAGUUUUCUUGAAAGGGAAGGCAUUAUUUAUCAAUAUGGUGAUCUAGUGAAGUGGCAUGGAUUUAUAUGCAUGCCACUUUCUUUCAACUGCCAUACACACAAGACUGAAAAGAUGACUCUAUUUCCCCCUCCCCUGCCAUACUUGCACAGAUGUGGAUAGUGUGGGAGUGAGCAGAGAGGUUCCUUGCCCAGCUUUGCCUCCAGAGCAAUGUUUCUUUUGGGUAUAAAUUUUGAGAUCCCAGGGAGUGCAGACAAAGCAGCUCUUGGCACCCUCGGUCCUAUACCAAGAGCACCACAAUCAUCUUCCACCAGCAGGAAUAAACAGUGGCAAGAAUCCAUGUGCCCAGCACAUCGUGAGCAUAUUGUGCGUGGCAUUGUUGAAGUGAUCUAUCCUAUUCAAAAUCGUGCAGUGGGAGCAGGUGAGCAGAUGGAAAGAGCUGCGUUGCAUACUCAGAGGCUGGAAAGGGAUUUGUACGAAGAAGCAAACAGCAGGGAGGAAUACUAUGUGCUGCUUAUUGAUAAGAUCUCUGAGACUUGCACGCGUAUACGGGAGCUGGAAAGAAACAGGCGCCAAGGACCUGAUGUACCACCUGCUGUUAGAGAUCAAGGAGCUCAUGUGGGUCAACCAUAAUCAAGAGCACCUGCUGGGUUGGAAGAGCUGAAUGCAGCUUCUGACAGCAACUGACAUUGGUCAAAAAUUGUCAGAACUCCUUGACUGUCGGCAUCAAUGCUGCCUCCUUUGGAUGCAUUGUGUGACAAGUGACAUGUGAUAAGUGUCCACCUAUUUUUUUUUUUGUUUGUUUUUUCAUUUGAAAUAUGUUGCCUUUUUCUUAAAUAUAAUAAACCUGUUCUUAAAUAUU